rfam:Caenorhabditis elegans chromosome X
CACCGUCCGCAGUUUGUUGUGAUGUGCUCCAAGCAAUCAUGAGUCUGAAGCACCACGAGAAGCUGCAGAUGGAG